AUCCUUGGUUAAAAUAUUCCUGUUUAGCGAGUCUUCAGUUGGUUAGUUAGGUUGACUUUUCUAUAUUUUAGUUGAAAUUCCAGUUUGGUCCUGGGAGGAAGUGAAUGUAACUUCCACCUACUCCACUGCCAUCUUGGAUUUCCUCUCAACAUAUUUUUAA